GUGUACAAGCACUUCAUGUAGAAAAUAAUGCAAACAAACAUUUAAAUAUACAUUUUAUACAUUAUGGCUUACAGAUUGUUUUAAUACUCUCAUCCCCAGUGUAGAAUAAAAGCAAAGACAUCAAAACUAUGAAAUAACAAAUUAAAUAAAACCAAUCAAAAUACAUUUUGUGUUAUAGAUUAUACAAACUAGCCACUCUUUGUUUUGAUGAAAGCUUGGCACAAACUUGGCAUUCUCUAAACCAGCUUCAUGAGGUAUUCUCCUAGGAUGCAUUAAAUGAACAGGUGUGUCUUGUUAACAUUUUAUUUGUGGAAUUUCUUAAUGCGUUUGAUCCAUUCAGGGUUGGUAUACAGAAGACCUUUAACUAUUUAGAGAAGACUGCACUUAUCAGGCCUACAUGGUUGAAUUUCUGCAAAGAAACCACUACUGAAGGACACCAAUAAGAAGAGACUUGCUUGGGCGAGAAACACAAGAAAUGUGUUCAAUGGAAUUCAGUCCAGAUUUGCGAUUUCUGGUUCCAACCAUUGUCUUUGUGAGACGUAGAGUGGGUGCCACUGCACAUGGGUGGCUCCUUGAAGCAUGGAGGAGUAGGUGAGGGGUGCUUGGCUGAUUUAUUUAGAAUUCAAAGCACACUCAUCCAGCACGGCUAUGACAAAAUUGUGCAGCGAUAUUCCAUCCCACUUGGUUUGAGCUUAGUGGGACUAUCAUUUAUUAUUUAAUUAACCAAAACACACCUCAAGGCUUUGUAAGGAAUUAUUUUUCCAACGAGUGUGAUGGUGCUGUAUCAGAUGACCUGACCCCCACAAACACCCAACCUCAACUAAAUUCAGAAGGUUUGGGAUGAAAAGCAUUUCAGGUGACUACCUUAAUAAGCUGGGUGAGAGAAUGUCAAGAUGGAAAGCUUUCAUCAAGGCAAAGAAAAAUAUAAAAUGUACAUGCAUUUUGAUUUGUUUCACAUUUUGGUAACUACAUGAUUCCAUGUGUUAUUUCAUAGUUUUGAUUACUUCACUAUUAUUCUACAAUGUGGA
ensembl:lncRNA